CCGGGCGCACGGGUGAGUAACACGUAUGCAACCUGGCCGUCACAGGUGGAUAACCGGAAGAAAUUCCGACUAAUACAGCAUAACACUCCUGAGGGACAUCCUUCGGGAGUCAAAGGAGGCAACUCCGGUGACGGAUGGGCAUGCGGCGCAUUAGGUAGUUGGUAGGGUAACGGCCUACCAAGCCGACGAUGCGUAGGGGUUCUGAGAGGAAGGUCCCCCACAUUGGAACUGAGACACGGUCCAAACUCCUACGGGAGGCAGCAG
rnacentral:rRNA from 1 species